rnacentral:rRNA from 1 species
CUUGGGCAUGAUGGUGACACGCUUGGCAUGGAUAGCGCACAAGUUGGUAUCUUCGAAAAGACCAACGAGGUAAGCCUCGGAUGCUUCUUGCAGAGCCAUAACAGCUGAGGACUGGAAACGGAGAUCAGUCUUGAAGUCCUGGGCAAUCUCACGGACAAGUCGCUGGAAAGGCAACUUGCGGAUGAGGAGCUCAGUGCUCUUCUGGUAACGACGAAUCUCACGGAGAGCGACGGUACCGGGCCUGUACCUGUGGGGUUUCUUGACACCACCGGUAGCGGGCGCGGAUUUUCGAGCAGCCUUGGUGGCCAGCUGCUGCGGGGAGCCUCUCCGAGAUACCCCCCGUGCCAAAGAAUCAAAAUAAGUGUUGGUAUAAAAUAGGGUCUCCUCCUCCUCUCGGAUCAAAAAAAGAUGUAUUUAAGUUUCGGUCUGUUAAUAAUAUUGUAAUAGCUCCAGCUAAUACAGGUAGAGAUAGUAAAAGUAGGAUUGCGGUGAUAAAAAUAGAUCAUACAAAUAAAGGUAUGCGAUCUAUAAAUAUAUUUGGGGUACGCAUGUUAAUCACAGUUGAGAUAAAGUUAAUUGCUCCUAAUCUGAGCGGGUUUACGGUCUUUUGACUCUCUCUUCAGAGUGCUUUUCAACUUUCCCUCACGGUACUUGUUUACUAUCGGUUUUGUGGAAAUAUUUAGCCUUAGGUCGAGUUUACGACCUGCUUUGCGCUGCAUGCUCAAGCAACGCGACUCUCUGGGAAUAGAAGCCGAACCCAUGCAUUUACCACGUGACCACACGGGUCUAGCACCCUCCAUGGAAUCGAAGCCACUCGUUAGAGUGACCGUGAACAUUCAACUCCAUUUAGGUUCACGCUUGUGCAGGGCUUUGAAACGACCUUUCCCUUAACGACAAAUUCCGCCUAACGCCCUAGUUCUAACCCUAAACGAUGCCAACCAUCAAUCCGUGCGUAGCACCCUUUCUAACGGGCUCGACGGGCAGCUCCCCUUCACGGGAAACCAGAGUCUCUGGGUUCCGGGGGGAGUCUGGUUGCAAAGCUGAAACUUAAAGGAAUUGACGGAAAGGCACCACCAGGCGUGGAGCCUGCGGCUUAAUUUGACUCAACACGGGCCAUCUCACCAGGCCAGCACUCUUGUACGAUUGACAGAUUGAGAGUUCUUUCUCGAUUAAGUGGAUGGUGGUGCAUGGCCGUUCUUAGUUGGUGGAGUGAUCUGUCUGGUUAAUUCCGAUAAGAACGAGACA